rnacentral:lncRNA from 1 species
UUAGAGUGCACUAGAAACAAACAGAGUGAGAAAACUUCAAAAAAAAAAAAACUUCAAAAAAAACAAGUAAUAGUAUGAGCAAAGCAAAACUUCACAACAAAUUUAUGACAAAGCAAAAAGCAAAGCAGAGUAUGAGCAAUAUGAAUCCUCUUUCAUAAAUAAUCCGUUUGCUAAUUUUACAACUUGACAUAUAUAUUGAGAAAUGUUCGGUUAACGAGGAGCGUGCAACAUUAUCUGUUUUUAUCGUCUCUCUCAGUCGCAACGUGGAACAAGGUUAUUUCUCCCUAUCUCUCUCAAAUUCCGACGUGACGGUUCCGAUUGCCGACGUGAACGAUUUCUGACGAGACGGUUUCCACUUAUUCUAUGUUUAGUAGGGACGCGACAGUUUCGAUCGCCGACGCGACGGUUCUGAUAUGCGAUGAGACGGUUUCUACUUAUUCUAUGGUUAGGUUUAGAUAAUAUUGACGAAUAAGGUUUAGAUCUAUUCUUCGUAUAUUGAUGAAUUAGGUUUAGGUUUAGGUUUAGGUUUAACAUCCACCACCAUUCACUUGUUUAUUUUGUAGAAAUCUUUUCACUUUUUUUUUCUUUUCUUUUUUUAUUUAGAAUGUUUGAUGGAUUGAGUAUAAAUAUUAGUUUAUUUAAACGAUUACAAAUUUGCCUAAAAAAGAGAAACAAUAGUUUUUCGUUAAAAAUAAAUAUUUU